rnacentral:rRNA from 1 species
GAUGAACGCUGGCGGCGUGCCUAAUACAUGCAAGUCGAGCGAACAGACGAGGAGCUUGCUCCUCUGACGUUAGCGGCGGACGGGUGAGUAACACGUGGAUAACCUACCUAUAAGACUGGGAUAACUUCGGGAAACCGGAGCUAAUACCGGAUAAUAUAUUGAACCGCAUGGUUCAAUAGUGAAAGACGGUUUUGCUGUCACUUAUAGAUGGAUCCGCGCCGCAUUAGCUAGUUGGUAAGGUAACGGCUUACCAAGGCAACGAUGCGUAGCCGACCUGAGAGGGUGAUUGGCCACACUGGAACUGAGACACGGUCCAGACUCCUACGGGAGGCAGCAGUAGGGAAUCUUCCGCAAUGGGCGAAAGCCUGACGGAGCAACGCCGCGUGAGUGAUGAAGGUCUUCGGAUCGUAAAACUCUGUUAUUAGGGAAGAACAAAUGUGUAAGUAACUAUGCACGUCUUGACGGUACCUAAGCAGAAAGCCACGGCUAACUACGU